UACAACUAUCACCUGGAAUGGAAUGGGCAUCCUCCACUGCAUUCUCUUGUGGGGAAGGGAAUUUGUAUCCAAGAGGAAGUUAUCUGCUGAUGAGUUAUACUGUUGAGAGUUUGGCAAAUGCCCUUGAGUUUUAGAAUUAUCCACAAAAGCACUGAAGAUUGAUGACAUCCCUUUAAAAAGACUCCACAGUUUUACUUUGCAAAACCCCA
rnacentral:lncRNA from 1 species